rnacentral:rRNA from 1 species
UGGGGAAUAUUGCGCAAUGGGGGGAACCCUGACGCAGCCAUGCCGCGUGAAUGAAGAAGGCCUUCGGGUUGUAAAGUUCUUUCGGUAUUGAGGAAGGUUGAUGUGUUAAUAGCACAUCAAAUUGACGUUAAAUACAGAAGAAGCACCGGCUAACUCCGUGCCAGCAGCCGCGGUAAUACGGAGGGUGCGAGCGUUAAUCGGAAUAACUGGGCGUAAAGGGCAAGCAGGCGGUUAUUUAAGUGAGGUGUGAAAGCCCCGGGCUUAACCUGGGAAUUGCAUUUCAGACUGGGUAACUAGAGUACUUUAGGGAGGGGUAGAAUUCCACGUGUAGCGGUGAAAUGCGUAGAGAUGUGGAGGAAUACCGAAGGCGAAGCNAGCCCCUUGGGAAUGUACUGACGCUCAUGUGCGAAAGCGUGGGGAGCAAACAGGAUUAGAUACCCUGGUAGUCCACGCUGUAAACGCUGUCGAUUUGGGGGUUGGGGUUUAACUCUGGCGCCCGUAGCUAACGUGAUAAAUCGACCGCCUGGGGAGUACGGCCGCAANUUA